ensembl:ribozyme RNaseP_nuc Nuclear RNase P
GUGGGCGGAAGCUCAUUGUAGAGGUCACAUGCUGAGUGCUCGUCACUCCACCAAUCACCUCGGGGAAGGUCUGAGACAAGAGCCAAUAGUUACCCUAGCAGGGUAUCACCUGAUGCGGGUGAGCGAGUGAACAGAAAAAAUGGGUCAUUGUGAGCAGUUAUCGCAGGAGAAGCUAUGUGGCGCAGUUUGUCAGCGCCUCACGGUGGAUGUGACGCUCACUGACUUGGAAUCGCUCGCGGCUGGCAAAUGAGUGCGAUGUAUGAGGUGGAGCACAGCUCCAGAACCCAAUUCAGACUACUCUCCACCCAC